GAAAUUUAUAAUCAAACCUAAUUAGUUAAGUACAUAUAUAAUUAAAAUCAAUAAAGCUGAUUGAUUUAAAUAUUGGCAAAUAACCAUCAUGGCGAGAGAAACAGUUCGUGACAACCUUCUCACGGCGGAAGAGGUAGAUCAUUUGGAACGUAGCACUAAAAAGAUUAAGGCAGCAAUCAGAGAUGCUCUUGGGAGUUGGAGGAUCGGUUCUCGAUCCUUUAAAGAUUCACUGUUGGAGUCAAAAGUUUUCACUGGUUUUUGUCGUACUUCUUUUGCGGUGGAUGAGGAUGAUCAAGACUCGGAUAAGGAGAGUCGAGAAAAUCUGAAUGGAGUGGAAACUCUUCCUACAAUACGUAUUAGUAAAAAUCUUUAGAAGGAACUGCGCAGGCCCUGGCGUCAAGCACUUAUUACCGAAUUACUCGGUAAAACAAUUUCCUUCAACUCACUAUUGGAAUAAGUUUCAGUUCUUUGGCGUUUGGAUGGGAUUUUGAUUUCAUCGAAUUGGGUUAUGGAUUUUAUGCGGUCAAGUUUGAGAAACAGGAGGACAGAUUCAAGGUGAUGAUUGAGGGCCGGUGGAAAACUAUGGACCAUUAUUUGACGGUUAAAAAAUGGAAGCCAAACUUUCAUCCCGAAACAGCAGUUGUGUGGUCAACAGUGAUUUGGAUUUAUCUCCCUGGUUUACCUUUGGAGUAUUUCCAUGAAUCGGCUCUGAUUGAUGUAGGAAAGCUUGUGGGGAAACCAAUCAAGGUUGAUUCGAAUACAUCUUUGGCGACUCGAGGCAAGUUCGCUAGAAUAUGUGUGGAGGUUGAUUUGUCAAAACCUUUGUUGUCGCAAGUACGUAUUGGUAACUUUGCUCAAAACAUCGAAUAUGAGGGUCUCCGUACUGUCUACUUUUCUUGUGGUUGUUUUGGUCACCGUUUGGAAUCCUUUCUCUCAUCAAGCGGCACAAAAGGAGCAGGUGUAGCCGGAGGCUGUGGCCACGACGGCGGAACCCAUGGUAACGGAAAAUUUGGUCGACGCUGAUGGUCCAAAACGUGAUGGGCCGUGGAUGUUGGUUAAAAGAAACCCGAGUGAAGGCAAGAAACACUAGCAACAAGAAUUUAGGGAUGGGGCGUAUUUCCAGGGAUUCUAAUAAAUUUGAGAUUCUCAUGGAGAUUGAAGCUCUUAAGGAUAUCCGAAUUGGGUCAGAGAAUAUCAUGGCCGCUAUUAAUGUGGGGACGGGGAAGAAAAAUAAUGGGUCGAGAGCUAGGCCUUACAGAGUGAGAGAAUGAAGGCCUCAGCAUGGGCGGAUUACUUUACAAGAAUGGUUGGACAGAGUUUUGAUCAAUCCGGAAGCUCUGUAUUAUUUUCCAGAGAUGAGUGUGCUUAAUAUUAUAUGCCACGGUUAUAUUUUGAUCGCCACCCAAUUCUUCUUAAUACUUUGGGUCGUUAUGUCCUUUCCAAGAGACUUGCGGCCUUUUUUAGAUAGAAAGCUGCCCGGCUUACCAGUAUGGACUUUAAGGAAAUCUUCACGAGAGAGUGGAUGGAAAACUCGAGCAGUGUUGCACAUGCCAUUGAAACUGUCACUAGGGCUAUUAAGGAGUGGAAGUCCUCUUUUGGUAAUAUUUUUGGUGAGGAAACAGUCAUUGAUCAAAAGGUCGCAGGGUAUUCAAAAUUCACUUCUGUUGUAUAUUUUCUUCUUAUUUGCAUCAAUUAGAAGCAACUCUUAAUACUGAAUAUCAGACCAUUUUGACGCAAGAAGAAUUAUUGUCUUCAGAAAUCUCUUUUAGACUGGAUUUCUAAGGGUGAAUGGGACACUCGAUUUUUUCACCUUACAACGUUGAUGUGACGAAGCCGAAAUAAGGUGUCGGGUUUAUUCAUUGAUGAUUCUUGGGUAACUAACCAAAGAACUAUGAUGGAACAUGUGGUAAAUUACUCUGAUCAACUCUUUGCUAGGAAGCAGGUAUCCUCGUUACCUCGUGUUUUUCUGAUUUUCAAUUCAACCCUCACUUGGUUUCGAUAGAAGAGGUUUGUAAUAGCCUUUUUUCCAUUAAAAGAUUGAAAGCUCAGGGUCCGGAUGAUAUUCAACCAAUCUUUUAUCAAAAGCAUUGGGAUUCGGUGAAAGAUUCAAUAUUUGAAUUUGUCAAGGGGGCAUGGAAUGCUGGUACUUUGUUUUCAUUCCUAAAGUAGCAGCAAUAGAUAGAAUCUCUUUGUUCCGGCCUAUAAGCCUCUGCAAUACUUCCUAUAAAGUUUCAUCUAAAACGGUUGUCAAUCGUCUCCGUCCAGUAUUACAACGUCUCAUUGGGCCUUUCCAAAGCAACUUUCUUGCUGGAAGGAGCACACCUGAUAAUCUUUUGGUGACACAGGAAGUGGUUCAUUCGAUGAUGAAUAUGAGAGGAAUUUAGGGGGCGAGGAUUCUGAAGGUUGAUUUGCAAAAAGCUUAUGAUAACGUCGACUGGAGCUUCCUCAAGUUUGUCUUGAUUGAAUUUGGUUUACCGCACCGUCUUAUUGAUUUGAUCAUGUUUUGUGUGCAAGCUAGUAAAAUCACCCCGAUUUGGAAUGGCCAAGUGACAGGACGACCCACUGUCACCAUAUCUCUUCAUUAUGGUGAUGGAAAAGUUGUCACACAUGAUAUUGGAUAGAGUCAGAAGAGGUAGUUGGGUGCCUUUUAAAGUCUCUAGACGGGGUCCCCAAAUCUCACACAUUUUUUUUCCGCUGAGGAUUUAUUGCUUUUUGCCAAAGCUAGUGUGAACCAGUUGAGCAUCAUCCAAGGCUGCCUACAUGAAUUCAGUGCCGCGUCUGGAUUAUCUAUAAACUUCUCCAAGUCUAAACUGUUUGUUUCCCCUAAUUACAGCAUGUUGCAGCUCUCUCAUGGAGGGCUACUUGUGGUAUUCCGCUUGCUAAUGAUUUAUGAAAGUGUCUAGGUGUACCGAUUAUUCAUGCUUGUGUAACGAAAGAGACUUACACGCAUAUUCACAAGACGUCGGCUGUAAACAGGAGUUUCCAAAUAGAGCAGUAUUUUUGAUGUGUAGGACUAAAUUGGAGGAGUGAAAGGAACUUCAAACGAAGUCUCGAGGCCAAACCAAGUGCCUUAGCUUCGAAGUUAAUGCCCAGCGCGCGACUACAAGAUGUUACGUCACCGCCCUGGCGCCACAAACUUUGAAACUCGACCUCUAUUUAGCGCCCUAGUGCUGACGAAAACCUUCCUAGCUCGAAUUUUUCGUGUUUUUGGUGGAGUGAACAGCCCUAACUCUCAUGUUAAGGGUAUUUUGAUAUUUUAAAAAUUUAUAUUUGAUACCGUUUUACUCGCUUUAGUUGGUUUUCUAUUCUUCUUUGAAAUCAAGCGCAAUAAAAGAACAGUUUCGAAAGUAGAUUAAGGGAGCACUUCAAACAUUGGGUGAGACCAUUUUAAUAUAUUAUGUGAUUAUUUUCUCAUUAAUUUCUCGUUGUUGUUGGACUUAUUUGUUGAAAACAUGGACAAAAGAGAUAAGUACGACUGUGAACUAAA